UACAGAGGGUGCAAGCGUUAAUCGGAAUUACUGGGCGUAAAGCGCGCGUAGGUGGUUCGUUAAGUUGGAUGUGAAAUCCCCGGGCUCAACCUGGGAACUGCAUUCAAAACUGUCGAGCUAGAGUACGGUAGAGGGAAGUGGAAUUUCCGGUGUAGCGGUGAAAAUGCGUAGAUAUCGGAGGAACAUCAGUGGCGAAAGCGACUUCCUGGACCAGUACCGACGUUCAGGCACGAAAGCGUGGGGAGCAAACAGG
rnacentral:rRNA from 1 species